CUACGGGUUGCUGCAGUGGGGAAUCUUGGACAAUGGGCGCAAGCCUGAUCCAGCCAUGCCGCGUGAGUGAAGAAGGCCUUAGGGUCGUAAAGCUCUUUCGCCAGAGAUGAUAAUGACAGUAUCUGGUAAAGAAACCCCGGCUAACUCCGUGCCAGCAGCCGCGGUAAUACGGAGUGGGGUUAGCGUUGUUCGGAAUUACUGGGCGUAAAGCGCGCGUAGGCGGAUUAGUCAGUCAGAGGUGAAAUCCCAGGGCUCAACCCUGGAACUGCCUUUGAUACUGCUAGUCUUGAGUUCGAGAGAGGUGAGUGGAAUUCCGAGUGUAGAGGUGAAAUUCGUAGAUAUUCGGAGGAACACCAGUGGCGAAGGCGGCUCACUGGCUCGAUACUGACGCUGAGGUGCGAAAGUGUGGGGAGCAAACAGGAUUAGAUACCCUUGUAGUC
rnacentral:rRNA from 1 species